rnacentral:lncRNA from 1 species
CUCUAACAAAAACAGGGGAUCUCUGGCAUGACGUGACACUUCCUACGGCUCCCAUGGGCUCUCAGAAGGCGGGAAAAAGCUGAAAGAUGUAAUUCCAUCCCCAGGCUGAAACACAUUAGCGCGUUUGGCAAGUGCUCUAUCAGAGGGCCAUCAGACUGAGGCUCGUGCAUGAGGGGAUAGCAUGCUUUUACUUUCACUCUCUUUGUAUUAAAAAACGAUUUCCCGGUCGGAAUAUUAUCGCUUUUCUACGAGAAAAAUGGCAUAAAAAUUGAUUUUAAACAGCAGUUGACAUGCUUCGAAGUACGGUAAUGGAAUAUUUAGAAUUUUUUUGUCACGAAACGCGUCAUGCUCGUCACCCUUAUUUACCCUUUCGGAUAGUGUCUUGAACGCACGAACAAAACGCCGCUAUUUGGAUAUAACAAUGGAUUAUUUGGGACCAAAACAACAUUUGUUAUUGAAGUAGAAGUCCUGGGAGUGCAUUCUGACGAAGAACAGCAAAGAGGUGAUGACUACUCCACUCCACAACCAUUGUCAACUUUCUCCUGACAUGACCUGGAGCUACCCGCUCAUCCCCUGGCACAUUGAUUGUUUCCCUCCAAGCACUAUCCCUCAGAUCAGCAGUUUGUGCUCCAAGUAAGAGCAAGUUUUUAGGAGAACAGCUCGUCAGCCCAGGAAAUGGUUCAGAUUAAAGGGAGGUAAUGACACAUUUUCUAGGCCUGUUUGUGUGAGCGGCGCAUGCAAUUUAAGGGGCUGCCAUACAAGGUCAGUUAAUAUUUCAUUGCGAGGCACUCAGGGAAUGGGGAACAGAGAGACAAAAUGCAUAUGUCUCAUUUCGCAAUCUGAUUCGUCUCUACAAAUCAGCCCGAGUCAAUGUCAUUCCAUUAUGAACUCUGCUGCAGAAUUCUGCUGCUGCGACACUGCCUGCCUGGAUGUGACUGCUUUUACUGGAGCUGAAUGUGGAAUCUCUCGAUCUCCCACUCUCUCUGUCAGGUUGCCGCAUCCUCCUCCUCCAUCUCCAUCUCCUUCUCCACUUUUACCACCUCCACACCUGUUCCUUCUCCCCUUGUUACAC